UAUACAUUUAUGCCGAGUCUUGCCACUGCUAAAAUGCAAACUGCAAUUUUGUAACAAAAUGCAGUAUUUCUGAAUUAUUGCUCUUUGAAGCCCCAAAGGACUCCCACAGGAGCACUUCUGAGUUCUUUCUAUUUUAGUUUGUUUGCAUGUUUCCCCAAGACUAGUUAGGUCGAUCUGAUGUAGUGAUUUGACUCUUCUUUUUCCUCAAAUGACCCACACACCCCCAAAAAGACCUUUCAUAUUCCUCAACUUUUAGUAAGCUAUUCCUAAUCCAAAAAAUAAUUACCUCUGCUUUGUUUUGUUUGUUUUAAAAGCAGAAAGUUAGAAGAGCAGACCAGACUACAGCUAAAUAUCUGUGUCUGCAACAGUGAAGAAAGUUCCUCUGUCCAGAUGUUCAGCAACUGCUGCUGAGAGCAGCCCUAAGCAGUGGCUACAGACAGAGGGGAGGCAGAAAAUAGUUCCUCCCUGGCCAUUUUCAUCGAGUUUGCUUCCUGCCUCAGUGAGGACAGUGACAGCCAGAGAAGAAAUGUUAGAAGAGGCACUGUCCUGCCUGCAGGAAGCUACGGUCUCGUGCCACCAAAUUCAUUCAAGCUUGGACACAACUUCAGUAGCAGCGCAAUCAGACCCAUGGCCAACAAGGUUUACUGGUAUGCAGAUAAGCUUGUACUGUUUAAUAUUUAAAGCUCAGAAGGGAAGAAGCUUUAAAAGAAGGAAGAAGAAAGGAAGACUACAGAGUGCUAGGCAGUAUCCUGUAUCCUGCAUAAGCAGCUCUCAUCUCAGACACCAUCAUAUGAACUGCAAGAAAGGACAGCUGAGGAGCAGGAAUGUCAGGAAGAGAUCAAGGACUAAAACUGUGUAACUGGCAGGAGCUUCUAGAACUGGAGAGAAGGAGAAGAGGAGAACAGAGCUUAGGUUUUCCAAUUGCAAAUAUCUAAAAUGGUUCACAUAUGUUUUUUUUAAAAGGUACAGUUUCUAGUAAACAGUUACAUAAAACUCUGGUCUGGAUUUCUGUAAUGAAGAUUUAAAAAUAUAUUGCAGAUUUAAAUGAAAUUAAUCUUUUUUUUUUUUUUUUUUUUUUUUUUUCCCCUCUCUCUCCAGGAAUCAUCCCCCCCCCGGUUCAUUUAUGGGUCUUAUUACCUUUAAAUUGUGACAAGUUAACUCUUAGAACUGAAUGGAAGCUGGAGGUAUUCAACACCUGAACGUUCACUCUACUACAAUGCAAGAAUGUAAAAGCACAGAUGAACUGUAUGACUGAGAGAAUUAAGGAGGCCCCCUUUUGUCUUCCUGUUGUUCCUUAAGAACAUAAAGAAUUGACCAUUUUGUCUCAGUUUGCUGAGAGUCAGUAAUUCAAUAAAAUGUUACAUACUUCUUAAUAUGCA
rnacentral:lncRNA from 1 species